rnacentral:rRNA from 1 species
GCUCCUACGGGAGGCAGCAGUAGGGAAUCUUCCACAAUGGACGAAAGUCUGAUGGAGCAACGCCGCGUGAGUGAAGAAGGGUUUCGGCUCGUAAAGCUCUGUUGGUAGGGAAGAAAGAUAGAGGGAGUAACUGGCCUUUAUUUGACGGGAAUUACUUUGAAAGUCACGGCUAACUACCUGCCAGCAGCCGCGGUAAUACGUAGGUGGCAAGCGUUGUCCGGAUUUUUUGGG